rnacentral:snRNA from 1 species
ACAUUCACCUGGCAGGGAAGGUGGUUUUCUCAGGGCGAGGCAUAUCCAUUUCACUCCAUAUGUGCUGACCCCUGCAAUUUCCCCAAAUGUGGGAAACUCGAGUGCAUAAUUUGUGGUAGUGGGGGACAGUGUUCACUCUCUACCCUG